AGAGUUGUAUCCUGGCUCAGGACGAACGCUGGCGGCGCGCUUAACACAUGCAAGUCGAGCGAUGAAGUUCCUUCGGGAAUGGAUUAGCGGCGGACGGGUGAGUAACACGUGGGUAACCUGCCUCAUAGAGGGGAAUAGCCUUCCGAAAGGAAGAUUAAUACCGCAUAAGAUUGUAGUACCGCAUGGUAUAGCAAUUAAAGGAGUAAUCCGCUAUGAGAUGGACCCGCGUCGCAUUAGCUAGUUGGUGAGGUAACGGCUCACCAAGGCGACGAUGCGUAGCCGACCUGAGAGGGUGAUCGGCCACAUUGGGACUGAGACACGGCCCAGACUCCUACGGGAGGCAGCAGUGGGGAAUAUUGCACAAUGGGGGAAACCCUGAUGCAGCAACGCCGCGUGAGUGAUGACGGUCUUCGGAUUGUAAAACUCUGUCUUCAGGGACGAUAAUGACGGUACCUGAGGAGGAAGCC
rnacentral:rRNA from 1 species